GACGAACGCUGGCGGCGUGCUUAACACAUGCAAGUCGAACGAAGUGGCGAACGGGUGAGUAACGCGUAAUCAACCUGCCCUUCAGAGGGGGACAACAGUUGGAAACGACUGCUAAUACCGCAUACUGAAGGAGGGGAUUGAGUGUGAGUAGCUAGUUGGAGGGGUAACGGCCCACCAAGGCGAAGAUCAGUAGCCGGUCUUGGAGGGUGAACGGCCACAUUGGGAAUGGGACACGGCCCAGACUCCUACGGGAGGCAGCAGUGGGGAAACUUCGGCAAUGGACGAAAGUCUGACGGAGCAACGCCGCGUGAGUGAUGACGGCCUUCGGGUUGUAAAGCUCUGUUAAUCGGGACGCGGUACCGGAAUAGAAAGCCACGGCUAACUACGUGCCAGCCGCCGCGGUAAUAC
rnacentral:rRNA from 1 species